rnacentral:lncRNA from 1 species
CCCGGCUAAAAUUAUCGGAUAAAAUUUUCCCUACUGAGGUUAUGUGGCCGCACAACUUUAUGUGCGAUCCGCACUUUGAAGCUGGCCUGACAGGAUGGAAUUCUGCAACCGCACGUUGUCAGGUAUUUGGAUGUAGAAAAAUAAUAAAUAUAUUAUUUAAAUAAUUGAAAGGCAAUUACAAAAAAAGAAAAUAAAGAGACAAGUCAGUUUCGAAAAUAAAGAAUCAUAAAUGCUUAAAAUAGGCAAUAAAAUUCAAAUAAGGGGAAAGGGCACGAGAUAAGGCGUGUUUAGACUAAUUCAUAAAAGAUAAGUUCGAUAUGGUAAGAGCUUAAAGGUAUCUCUAGCAAAGUCUCCAUGCUGUCGCGCCCUCUUUUUUUCCCUCCGUAGAGAGAAGUCGGGGUUUCGAUGUUCAUGGAGGGUGAUAACUCAUUUCCUUUUGCGAUUUGGGAUUUUUAAAGAGUCGCCGCCUAAUGGAUUGUGGUGCGUUAUGGAACCUAGAGUAAUUAACUCUUAGUCUAGUAGCAUUACUAGAGAUUUACGGUAAGGGCUCGAAAUAACCUUGAGGGAAAGGUGUUAGGCACUCUUUCAGUCUAGAAUGGUAAGUCCAGGCGAACGUAUACUUAUAAAUUAGUCCUUUUUAAUAAAUAAAUAGUCUAAAUACAUUCUUGAAAAUAAAGGCAUGUUUCGGACGUUGUAUGACUCAAGUAAUGAGAUAAAAAGGAAAAUACUUGAACACGUUGCUUACAUAUAUUAAACAUCCGGAAUUUGGGAAAGAGGGGUCCUGGAUUGGCUAGCCUACAGGAUCACCCCACGCAAUACCUAGUAAUCACUCCUUAAUGAGGGGCUACACGUGACAUUAGCACGUAAUCAUCAUAUUCUUACUAACUGAUUCCCUCCCAUUGGUCAUAGACUAAAGCGUUCUAAUAACCUUGACUGAGGUCCUAUGCGUGCACUAUUCGUCCCUUCCUUGUGGCCUUGGAGGUAUUUAGGACAUCUAUCUAGGGUAGUUCUAGAAAAAGGUUUUAAAGGAUAAAAGUCUACGCGUCAACCAAGAACAAUUAGGACUGCAUUUAGAGAGAACAAGUCACACGCUCACAGUCACCUCCACAAAAAUAACAAGUAAAUGCACCUCUUCAAACAAUAGUCAGGUAUUUAAGAGAAGAUCCUAGAACAUGAGAUCUAGGUGAGCAGAGAUUAUACACUAUUGAAUUAGGACAAAGUGUCACAGAACUAUUUAGCUUGCCUACUGAUGUUAUACCUGUUGAAUGUGAGCAGAAUUAAAUAACAAAUCACAAUUUUAUAGUUGUAGAAUUUAAAUCGCCUUAGAGGCUUGCUUAAACGCAUAACAGUGACGUCCUAAAAGCAUGGUAUCUAUAUUGAUUAGUAAUGCAGUAAAAUAGUGAACAAUUUUUAAAAUGGAUAACUUGAGAUCCUAUAGAUAUGCUUUCUAGCGACAUUAAUUUAAGGCAGUGUUUGAAAACUCAUUUAAAGAAACAGACAGUUAAUUAAACCAAUUCAGAAUGAACAAACGUCAAUUAAACUGAUUUUAAGUUCUAUAGGCAUAAUUUUUAUUAGAGCUGAUUUUAAUCCCUAUAGGAAUGGUAUCUAGUUAUUAAAGCUAACUCUUGCACUUAUAGGCAUGAUAUCUAAGAAGACGAAUAUGAAUACAUGUUGUAACAAAACUGAACUUCAAUUACUUCAUCUCUAUAGGCAUGAUAUCUAAAUAUAAAGCUGACUUUAACCUUAUAGGCAUGAUUUCUAUUAUUAACAACAUUUAGAUCUUAUAGGCAUGGUUUCUAAUAUCGUGGAAGUAAAGCAAACAUACACAACCCUAUAGGCAUGGCAUCUACCCGAUUUACCCAACAUAUAUAUCACUACUGACCCCUUUUUUCACUAAUCACUCCAAUUUUGUUUAAAUUAAUUAUUAAAACUAAUGAAUUAAAGAAAAAUAUAUAAAUGAAUAAGAGUUAAUCUAUAUGGAGCAUGCAGUAGGCCCAGAUGACUUCCAAACCUCCAAUAGCCUCAAAUGCUAGAGUUCCACAGAUAAUCUCAUGUCUAGGUGUGUCAGAGUUCCCUAAGGACCUCGAGGAUCCAGGGCAGUGAUCACACCUAGACCUUUUCUCAAAUAAUAAUUGAUUUAGGUGAAGUAUGGAAAGGCCAGCUCUGACAUGCCAUAGUUUAGAGAGAUCUCAAGGGUCUCAAGGCAUUAUACAUAUCAGAGGGGCGGAACCUGGUAUCCUAAGAGUAAGUGGAAGUGCAUAAUAGUUGAAAGAGUUUAAUAGAAAGGUCUAAAGACUGAAAGAAAUUUUUGAAAACCAUUAGUACUGAAAUAGUUUGAGGAGAGUACCAAAACAUCAAACAAUUGUUGGUCAUAAAAACAUCCAGAUUUAGAAAAUACUUAACAAACAGAACUCUCAUGGGGAUAAAGGGCUGGGGCACAUAAGAGUGACAUUGGGGUAAAUGGAUAGGGCAUAGGGGAAGUAUAUAGUCACAAAACUGUAUCAAACACCUAGGGUCUUAAAGACUUAACAGGCUAAACGUGGAUAGAAACUAGUUAAGAGAAAGAUCAUAGUUAUGAUACAGGAAACAUGACAUGUCUCGAACAUGAUUAAACAUGAUAGGUAAAAAGUAAGCAGGAAAGAGUGCAAAAUAUAAAAGCACACAUUUGAAUAGGACAGAUUCAAGACAUGUUGAGGAAAGAAGUAAGAAGAAAUAGAAGUUGAAUUCACAACUGAUGAACUAGUGCAGAAAUGAAACAUAUAGGGUUUGGAUUUCAAAACUGAACAUAGAGGUAAACCAGUAGAAGAAAGGGUGCAGAAUAUGAAGCAAAUAAAGUUCCAAUAUCUAUCCUUGGCUUUCAGCUGGCUAGAUCACCGAGUAUCACAUAGCAUAAGAGAAAGAGAACUUUAGAGUGUAAGGAGUAGUGAUUUUUUAACUAUAAUAUUUGUUGUCUAGAAAUUAAAAUAAUAGAGAGUUUAUAUAGUAAUAAAAAGCUUAACAAAUAAGAUAAGAUAUCAAUUAAGUAUAAAAUUAUUAAUAAAGGGACAAUUAAAUCAACGGUAAAAGCUUACUAAGUAUUUAAGGAAAGAAUCAAGUAAGGUUAAGGUAUAAAGUGAGUUAUUAGGGGUAAAUGAACAGAAUCAGAAAAAUAUAAACAAGGCAAGGAAAAAAUUAAGGCAUGUAAUUCAAUCAAAUUGAGUAGAGAGGUAGGAAUCAAAAGUUUAAGGGAAAGUGUUCAAAUUAAAACAAGAAACAAGGAAUUCAGAAUAAUCAAAGAGAGAGUCAUGAAAAAGUCAGCAUGAUUAGCAUAUAAAAUAAAGUAGAACAUGAAUAGUCACGAUUCCACAUAACUUCAACAAAAUGAAUAAUUAUAGCGACGUUGAUUCAGGGAGAACGUAACAGGUCUUGACACGAAUAGUCAGGAUAAACCCAAGCAUAUAGAAUCAGUGAAAGGGUUGAACUAAGAAAUUCAGUAGAUACAUAUUAGGACAAGAAAAUCACGAGAAAUCACAAGAACUCAAAACAAGAACACAAUCAGAUGUACCAAUACUCAGAAACCAAACGAAAAACCCCAAAAAUUAGGGCUUUCAGUACAACGAGUUAAGGUUGUCGCACAAAUCGGUCGAAAUAUAUGAGAAGCAGAAGAUUAAACACAAAAAGUCAUCAAACAAUUUGUAAAAAGAAAUUCCGGAAACCCUAGUUUAGAAAAAUAUAAAAAUCACUUGAAAAUCAUAUGAUUCUUGUAAAUAAUCAUAAGGUUGUUAUAAAACUCACAUAAAACAAGCCCAAAUCACCUCAAAUCUGUACAGAUCUAAGAUGUUUAGAAAAAGAAAUUAGGGUUUCAAAGAGAACAACAUAGAGGUAAAGAAACAUGCUUAGAAAAUCAUAGAUCGUAGUUAAUAUAGGACGUUCUUACUCGAAAUCAUACUGGAAUGACCUGAAACAGGCGAGAGAGGAACCAUAUAUGCAAGCCAACUAGCCAUAGUCCCUUGAGGGCCCUGGAGAUGGCGAGAUUAACGUGAGAGAGGCCAUUGGAGGCCUUGGAGUGGUGAGAAGUCAUCAGAGAUAGCCAUGAACGAGGGUCAGUGAGGUUUGAUUAGGGUUAGGUCGAGAGCUUUUUAGAGAUGAGAGGAAUAGAUGAU